UCCGAGUUGACCCCGGCAGUCUCCUAUGAGUCCCCACCAUGACCCGCUGGCAACAUGGGACAGGGGUUGCGCUCGUUGCGCCACUUAAGGCAACACCUCACGGCACGAGCUGACGACAGCCAUGCAGCACCUGUGCCGGCUCCCGAAGGAGCACCGUGUUUCCACGGUUUCACCCGGCAUGUCAAGCCCUGGUAAGGUUCUUCGCGUUGCGUCGAAUUGAGCCACAUGCUCCGCCGCUUGUGCGGGUCCCCGUCAAUUCCUUUGAGUUUUAGCCUUGCGGCCGUACUCCCCAGGCGGGGUGCUUAAUGCGUUAGCUGCGGCACGGAUCGCGUCGAUAGCGACCCACACCUAGCACCCAUCGUUUACGGCGUGGACUAC
rnacentral:misc_RNA from 1 species